rnacentral:rRNA from 1 species
CGGAGGGGGCGAGCGUUAUUCGGAAUUAUUGGGCGUAAAGGGCGCGUAGGCGGCCCGGUAAGUCAAAGGUGAAAUCCCUCGGCUCAACUGAGGAACUGCCUUUGAAACUGUCGGGCUUGAGGCCGGGAGGGGGUAGCGGAAUUCCCAGUGUAGCGGUGAAAUGCGUAGAUAUUGGGAGGGAACACCGGUGGCGAAGGCGGCUACCUGGACCGGUUCUGACGCUGAUGCGCGAAAGCGUGGGUAGCAAACAGGAUUAGAUACCCUGGUAGUCCACGCUGUAAACGAUGGGUGCUCGGUGUCGCGGGUAUCGACCCCUGCGGUGCCUUAGCUAACGCGUUAAGCACCCCGCCUGGGGGAGUACGGUCGCAAGGCUG